rnacentral:rRNA from 1 species
UACGUAGGGUGCGAGCGUUGUCCGGAAUUAUUGGGCGUAAAGAGCUUGUAGGCGGUUUGUCGCGUCUGCUGUGAAAAUCCGGGGCUCAACCCCGGACUUGCAGUGGGUACGGGCAGACUAGAGUGUGGUAGGGGAGACUGGAAUUCCUGGUGUAGCGGUGAAAUGCGUAGAUAUCAGGAGGAGUACCGAUGGCGAAGGCAGGUCUCUGGGCUGACACUGACGCUCAUACACGAAAGCGUGGGGAGCAAACAGG